GUAACAGGAUGGUGGAGACUAAAUGGGAAACAGACCAUUUUUCAGGAGUAUUGUAUAUUUAAGUUUUUUGUGUUUUAAUUAUUAGUAUUUGAAUUUACUGUGUAUGUAACAUGUUUUAUAUUAACUCUUGUAAUAAUGUUCACUCUUGACUUUUUUUAUUUUAUUUUUUUGAAUUGAUAUUUAACUUAACUUGAGACACUAUCCUGAAUAAUGGCUCACUCAGGUGACUCGGGCUCACUCAGGUGACUCGGGCUCACUCAGGUGACUCGCCUGGGCCAGUAACUGAUUAUGUCAACUAGCCAAUUGAACAUUUUGAACAAUAUUUUCAACACAAAACAUUUACUGUUAUUCGAAUGUUCUAAAAACAUGUUGUGUGUUAAGAUUUCUUUACUUUCAGUCUUUUUCACAAUAAACCAGGGCUUGCAUACA